CCUGUACAGGUAUGGAAUUAAAAGGGAAUCCCGUGAAAAUCGGGAACAGUCCCGCUGCUGUAAGCUCUGCAAAUGAAAACGGCAAUCACUCUUAUGCCACUGAUAUGACAAUCGGGAAGGCGCCGUUGACAGGAGUAAGUCAGAAGACCUGCCAUGCGAAUUAU
rnacentral:ncRNA from 1 species